rnacentral:tRNA from 1 species
GCCGAGAUGGUGGAACUGGUAGACGCACCGGACUCAAAAUCCGGCGCCGCAAGGCGUGGGGGUUCGACUCCCCCUCUCGGCACCA